ACGCUCGACACCUACGGGAGGUAGCAGUGGGGAAUAUUGCACAAUGGGGGAAACCCUGAUGCAGCGACGCCGCGUGGAGGAAGAAGGUCUUCGGAUUGUAAACUCCUGUCCCAGGGGACGAUAAUGACGGUACCCUGGGAGGAAGCACCGGCUAACUACGUGCUAGCAGCCGCGGUAAUCUGAGGCGGGCUGGCAAGGC
rnacentral:rRNA from 1 species